rnacentral:rRNA from 1 species
CGUACACUCCUGCGGGAGGCAGCAGUGGGGAAUAUUGGACAAUGGGCGCAAGCCUGAUCCAGCCAUGCCGCGUGAGUGAUGAAGGCCCUAGGGUUGUAAAGCUCUUUCACCGGUGAAGAUAAUGACGGUAACCGGAGAAGAAGCCCCGGCUAACUUCGUGCCAGCAGCCGCGGUAAUACGAAGGGGGCUAGCGUUGUUCGGAUUUACUGGGCGUAAAGCGCACGUAGGCGGACUAUUAAGUCAGGGGUGAAAUCCCGGGGCUCAACCCCGGAACUGCCUUUGAUACUGGUAGUCUUGAGUUCGAGAGAGGUGAGUGGAAUUCCGAGUGUAGAGGUGAAAUUCGUAGAUAUUCGGAGGAACACCAGUGGCGAAGGCGGCUCACUGGCUCGAUACUGACGCUGAGGUGCGAAAGCGUGGGGAGCAAACAGGAUUAGAUACCCCGGUAGUCCCAUGAU